rnacentral:rRNA from 1 species
UACAAAGGUCUCAAGCGUUGUUCGGAUUCAUUGGGCGUAAAGGGUGCGUAGGCGGCGCGGUAAGUCGGGUGUGAAAUCUCGGAGCUUAACUCCGAAACUGCAUUCGAUACUGCCGUGCUUGAGGACUGGAGAGGAGACUGGAAUUUACGGUGUAGCGGUGAAAUGCGCAGAUAUCGGGAGGAACACCUAUGGCGAAGGCAGCUCGCUGGGACGGUACUGACGCUGAGACGCGAAAGCGUGGGGAGCAAACAGG